rnacentral:rRNA from 1 species
UUAAGGAAAUAUAAUUUUAAGUCAAAUUUGCUCCAUGAAUUUUUUUUAAAUAGCUGCAGAAUUAUAACUGUACAAAGGUAGCAUAAUCAAUAGUUUUUUAAUUAAAAGCUGGAAUGAAUGAUUUAAUAAGGUAAAUUUUGUCUCAAAGUUAAUAUUAAUAGAAUUUUUUUUUUAGUAAAAAAACUAAAAUAAAUUUAAAAGACGAGAAGACCCUAUAGAUUUUAAUAUUUUUAUAUUAAAUUAAUUUAAAUUUUGAAAUAAAGUUUUAUAUAAAAUUAUUUGAUUGGGGAAAUUAUUAAAUAUCUAAAAUUUUAAAUAUUAUAUAAACCUUUAAUUUGAGAAUUAUUGAUCUUAAAUUUUAAAUUAAAAGAAUAAAUUACCUUAGGGAUAACAGCGUAAUUUUUUUGGAGAGAUCAUAUUGAUAAAAAAGUUUGCGACCUCGAUGUUGAAUUAAGAUAAAAUAUUAACGAAGAAUUUAAUAAUUUUUGGUCUGUUCGACCAUUAAAAUCUUACGUGAUCUGAGUUCARACCGGA